rnacentral:tRNA from 1 species
GGGCAGGUGGCCGAGUGGUUAAAGGCAGCAGACUGUAAAUCUGCCCGUGUUAUGCGUACGCUGGUUCGAAUCCAGCCCUGCCCACCA